rnacentral:rRNA from 1 species
GAUGAACGCUGGCGGCGUGCUUAACACAUGCAAGUCGAACGGAACUCAUUGGAUCAAGACUCCGGUCAAGUGAAUUUGAGUUUAGUGGCGGACGGGUGAGUAACGCGUGGGGAACCUGCCUCGGAGUGGGGAAUAACAGUUGGAAACAGCUGCUAAUACCGCAUGAUGCAUACGGAUCGCAUGGUCUGUAUGCCAAAGAUUUAUCGCUCUGAGAUGGCCUCGCGUCUGAUUAGCUAGUUGGCGGGGUAACGGCCCACCAAGGCGACGAUCAGUAGCCGGACUGGGAGGUUGGCCGGCCACAUUGGGACUGAGACACGGCCCAGACUCCUACGGGAGGCAGCAGUGGGGAAUAUUGGGCAAUGGGCGCAAGCCUGACCCAGCAACGCCGCGUGAAGGAAGAAGGCUUUCGGGUUGUAAACUUCUUUUAUCAGGGACGAACAAAUGACGGUACCUGAUGAAUAAGCCACGGCUAACUACGUGCCAGCCGCCGCUGUAAAAC